rnacentral:rRNA from 1 species
AUUGAACGCUGGCGGCAUGCCUUACACAUGCAAGUCGAACGGUAACGGGUCCUUCGGGAUGCCGACGAGUGGCGAACGGGUGAGUAAUAUAUGGGAACGUGCCCAGUUGUGGGGGAUAACUGCUCGAAAGAGCAGCUAAUACCGCAUACGACGUGAGGGUGAAAGGGGGGGAUCGCAAGACCUCUCGCGAUUGGGGCGGCCGAUAUCAGAUUAGCUAGUUGGUGGGGUAAAGGCCUACCAAGGCAACGAUCGGUAGGUGGUCUGAGAGGACGACCGGCCACACUGGGACUGAGACACGGCCCAGGCUCCUACGGGAGGCAGCAGUGGGGAAUUUUGGACAAUGGGCGCAAGCCUGAUCCAGCAAUGCCGCGUGCAGGAAGAAGGCCUUCGGGUUGUAAACUGCUUUUGUCAGGGAAGAAAUCUUCUGGGCUAAUACCCCGGGAGGAUGACGGUACCUGAAGAAUAAGCACCGGCUAACUACGUG